rnacentral:lncRNA from 1 species
AUAUAAUGUAUCACAUGGUACAAUUGAGAGGGGUAAAUUUGUCUCUAUGACACAACAUGUAGUUUUUAGAACUUUGCCUAGCAUUGAUAUGAUGAUAUCAAAUGGUAGCCAUACUUUCACGGUGCUCUGCCAUCAGAAUGCUGACAGCAAUUCAGCAUAGAAAAAAGAAAUAAUAUUUAUUACAACAUAUUGCAAUACCAAGGCAUAACUGUAUUGAACUGCAGAAUUAUAUUUUAGUGUCUGUUAUAGCUUUCUCCAAAUCUUGAUUUUACUUUCUCCACAGACAAGGUUGAUCGACCAGUCAGUACAAGCAUAUACUUCUUGUUACCUUCUGGAAGCAUUUCUCACCUUCACUGCAUCCCGUGUGCAGAAACAUGGCAUUUUUACUUGGGAGAACCUAUCACGGUAACAUCUGAUUGAUUAUUAUUACACGUUAAAAAUUUACCUUGAGAGGUGAUCUACAUUCCCACAGUUAGAUUCCUAUUCAACGUAUUCAAUUUCAAAUGUUCUUUUCUUCACCUAGUUUGAUUACCAUGUAUUGGAUACACUCAAAAGCUUAUCAGUGUAAUUGUGUUUUCAUAUCAUCAUCCAUUUUUCAUAUUCCUGUCAGCUUUUUCUCUGGCUAUGACAUAAUCAUCAGCAAAUUUCGAUUGAGCUUUUCCAUGACCCUUCUUGUUUAGCGAGUGGCUGCUUCAUUUUUGUGAAAAGUCAUGUUUUAAUAGGAUUAUUAAGAAAUAAAAAUGUAGUUCAUAUGAAGUAUAGUUUAUUUGAACAGUGAUCAACAUGUGUAAAAGAACCUAGUGAAAAUUUGUUCUGAUCUAUUCUGACUGGGUUUUGUGCGCAUUCUAGUGCUUGGGACUGAGAAUAUAUAACCUCGAUUUAUCUUUUCACUGUACCUGCGUAGUGGAUUAAGAUCAAAUUAUUAUUUCAAAUUUUAAGACUUCCAUGUUUCCUUUAUUAUCUCAUUGUAUCUACUAGUUUAGCACCAUUUGUUUCUCCUAGACAACAUCCCAUCCUGGAACCGGAACCUCCAUUAAGAUGAUGUCAAAUUUUUUCUCUAAUAGAUCUAUGGCAAACGCAUGUAUCUAUAUAGAUGGAAACAGCCAUAUAUUCUGUUGGAAUUGCUUAUUCUUUAAUCUUUGAUGCCAAUUUUUAUCUGUCAGGUGCUAGAAUUAAAUGAUAAGGAUGGGAGUGCUAAACUAACCUGUCUCGGACCCGAUAUUACAACAGAGAAUCAGUUAUUGCAGUAUGCGGUACCUCCAGGUGUUUGGUUUGGUGCAUUUCCAACCAAGGACGUUGACGUCUCUGCCGACGGGAAAAAUACAGUUACAAAAGCACCAAGGGAUUCCGAGAAGCACUUUUCUCUUGUAGGAUGCGUCUGUGCUCCUGCCUUCCAGUU